rfam:Chlorocebus sabaeus isolate 1994-021 chromosome 20, whole genome shotgun sequence.
ACCUCCUCCCGUGAAUCACAAAUGUCCUUAAUAGUAAUCCUUAAAUGCCAUUAAGGACAUUUGUGCUUGUUGGGAGGAGGU